rnacentral:lncRNA from 1 species
UCAAUAAUAAUUUAGGCAACAACACAAGUUAGAGAUUUUGAUUAGUGAAUCAAACUCCAACAACUUGCCAUGCCAAAAAGAAGAUGAGAAAUGAUCUUAUGUUGAUUUAGGUUCUUUGCAUGAUUAGGAAGCAACCUAUCCUCAAUGCAAAGCCAUUCACUUGAUCCAUGAUCAAGUUGAAUUAGAUUUGAAUCAAAGAAGGUU